rnacentral:tRNA from 2 species
GGGAUCGUAGCUCAACUGGACAGAGCGACGGUUUCCUAAACCGUAGGUUCCGGGUUCGAUUCCCGGCGGUCCCACCA